rnacentral:tRNA from 1 species
GGGGGUGGGGCUCUGCAGUAGAGUGUCUGCCUGGCAUGCACAAGGCCUUGGGUUCUACCCCCAGCACGACCA